UCCCAAUCCCAAUCCUGACCCUGGUGCCAGUUCCAAUCCCAGUCCCAGUCCCGAUCCCAAUCCUGAUCCCAGUCCUAAUGCCACUCCCAUUUCCGAUCCCAAUCCCGAUCCCGGUGCCAGUCCCAAUCCCAAUCCUGAUUCCAGUCCUAACCCCAGUCCCAACUCUGGUCCCGAUCCCCAUCCCAAUCCCGGUGCCAGUUCCAAUCCCAAUCCCCAUCCCAAUCCUGAUCCCAGCCCCAAUCCCAGUCCUGAUCCCCAUCCCCAGUCCCGGUGCCAGUCCCGAUGCCACUCCAGGUUCCAGUCCUGAUCCCGAUCCUGGUGCCAAUCCCAGUCCUGGUUCUGGUCCUGAUCCCGAUCCCAAUCCUAAUCCCAGUCCCAGAGCCAAUCCCGAUCCCAAUCUUGAUUCUACUCCCGAUCGUGACCCCGCCCCCCUUUCUGUGUCCUGGGGCUGCCGUCCCAGUCCCGAUCCCAAUCCCAGCCCCGAUCCCAAUCCCAGUCCCGGUGCCAAUCUCGAUCCCAGCCCCAUUCCUGUUCCCAUUCCCAUUCCCUGCCUGAGUCCCGUGUCCCGGGGCUGCCAUCCUGAUCCUGGUGCCAAUCCCGGUGCCAGUUCCAAUCUCAAUCCUAAUCCCAAUCCUGAUUCCAGCCCUAAUCCCAGUCCCAGCUCCGGUCCUGAUCCCCAUCCAGAUUCCAGUGCCAGUUGCAAUCCCAAUCCCAGACCCAAUUCCAGUCCUGAUCCCAGUUCUAAUCCCAGUCCUGGUCCCGAUCCCCAUCCCGAUCCCAGUCCCGGUGCCAAUCUCGAUCUCGUUCCCAUUCCCAUUCCCUGCCUGAGUCCUGUGUCCCAGGGCUGCCAUCCCGAUCCCCGUUCCAAUCCCGGUGCCAGUUCCAAUUCCAAUCCCAAUCUCGAUCCCAAUCCUGAUUCCGGUCCUAAUCCCGGUCCCAGCUCCGGUCCUGAUCCCCAUCCCAAUCUUGGAGCCAGUUGCAAUCCCAAUCCCGAUCCCAAUCCCGAUCCUGAUCCUGAUCCUNNNNNNNNNNNNNNNNNNNNNNNNNNNNNNNNNNNNNNNNNNNN
rnacentral:lncRNA from 1 species